CUUUUAUUUACUUUCUCCUUCAAAUACCCACUGGGUAAUUUUUUACCCCUCGAGAAGCCUUGGAAAAGCAGUGAUACUGGAUGCAUUCCCUUAUCUUAUCACUUGUCACAUUCAUUAUGCUGAAAUCAUUCAUUUAAGUGUGACUCUCUCUUUUAUUUUCCAUCAGGCGGCAGGUUCCUUGAGAUCCAGGGCCAUGUGUUAUCCGUUUUGAUGUCCCCAGUGUCAGACUUAAUGCCUGGGAACACAAUAGGAAUUCAACCAAUGUGGAGCUGCUGAACUAUUGAACCACCAGAUAGAGCUUUUGAGGGUGACCGAUCGUUAUUGCCUUUAGAAAAGAGAGUCCCUGAGCUGGGGCCACAGGGUUUGCUUGGUAGGCACUGUGUUUGUAGGAGUACAGUCUUAACUGCUGUAACAAAGGGGCUCCAAAGUACAGUGACUUACCAAGAGAGAAGUUGAUCUGUUUCCAUGUCACAGUCUGGAGGUCAGCAGGUCAGGGCUGCUGGGGUAGCUCCACAUCCUUAAUACGUGCUUUCCAUUUCUGUGUCUAAGGAGAUACCCUGGUUCUUCUCCUCUCCUUCCAGCAGUGGAAAGGGGGAAAGGGACUGGGCACAAGGGGUCGAUGAUACUACCAAUUUUUUGAGGGCAAGAUCAGGAUGUGACCCUCAUCACUUCUGCUGGCUUUACCUCGUCACAUGACCACCUCUCAAAAGGGCUCUUUGCUG
rnacentral:lncRNA from 1 species